UACGUAGGGUGCGAGCGUUAAUCGGAAUUACUGGGCGUAAAGCGUGCGCAGGCGGUUUGUUAAGACAGAUGUGAAAUCCCCGGGCUUAACCUGGGAACUGCAUUUGUGACUGGCAAGCUAGAGUAUGGCAGAGGGGGGUAGAAUUCCACGUGUAGCAGUGAAAUGCGUAGAGAUGUGGAGGAAUACCGAUGGCGAAGGCAGCCCCCUGGGUCAAGAUUGACGCUCAUGCACGAAAGCGUGGGGAGCAAACAGG
rnacentral:rRNA from 1 species